GGCCCAGUGGUGUACUGGCAACACAUCCUCUUAUUUGUACCCAUGGGUUUUGAAGCAUUAGGGGAAGUACCCUGUUCAAUUCGGGGCUGGGCCA